rnacentral:rRNA from 1 species
AGGACGAACGCUGGCGGCGUGCCUAACACAUGCAAGUCGAACGGGGUAAUUCUUCGGAGAUUACUUAGUGGCGAACGGGUGAGUAACGCGUGAGAAACCUGCCUCUCAGUGGGGGACAACAGUUGGAAACGACUGCUAAUACCGCAUAACAUAUUCGAAAGGGGCAUCCUUUGGAUAUCAAAGCUUUAUGUGCUGAGAGAUGGUCUCGCGUCUGAUUAGCUAGAUGGCGGGGUAACGGCCCACCAUGGCGACGAUCAGUAGCCGGUCUGAGAGGAUGAACGGCCACAUUGGGACUGAGACACGGCCCAGACUCCUACGGGAGGCAGCAGUGAGGGAUAUUGCACAAUGGGCGAAAGCCUGAUGCAGCAACGCCGCGUGAGGGAUGACGGUUUUCGGAUUGUAAACCUCUGUCUUCAGUGACGAAUUAAUGACGGUAACUGAGGAGGAAGCCACGGCUAACUACGUG